rnacentral:rRNA from 1 species
GACGUAGGGCGCGAGCGUUGUCCGGAUUUAUUGGGCGUAAAGAGCUCGUAGGCGGCUUGUCGCGUCGACUGUGAAAUCCCGCGGCUCAACCGCGGGUCUGCAGUCGAUACGGGCAGGCGUAGAGUUCGGUAGGGGAGACUGGAAUUCCUGGUGUAGCGGUGAAAUGCGCAGAUAUCAGGAGGAACACCGAUGGCGAAGGCAGGUCUCUGGGCCGAUACUGACGCUGGAGGAGCGA